CUACGGGGUGCUGCAGUGGGGAAUAUUGGACAAUGGGGGAAACCCUGAUCCAGCAAUGCCGCGUGUGUGAAGAAGGCCUGCGGGUUGUAAAGCACUUUCGGUUGGGAGGACUGCUUCUAGCACUAAUAUUGUUGGAAGUUGACGUUACCUUCAGAAGAAGCACCGGCUAACUCCGGUGCCAGCAGCCGCGGUAAUACGGGAGGGUGCAAGCGUUAAUCGGAAUUACUGGGCGGAAAGCGCGCGUAGGCGGCUAGAUCAGUCGGGUGUGAAAGCCCCGGGCUUAACCUGGGAACUGCAUCCGAUACUGUCUAGCUUGAGUACAGGAGAGGAGAGUGGAAUUCCACAUGUAGCGGUGAAAUGCGUAGAUAUGUGGAGGAACACCAAUGGCGAAGGCAGCUCUCUGGCCUGAUACUGACGCUGAGGUGCGAAAGCGUGGGGAGCAAACAGGAUUAGAUACCCGCGUAGUC
rnacentral:rRNA from 1 species